GGUUUUGUAGUGUAGUGGUGAUCACUCGUGAGUUGGCCUACUUUUCUAGACCUUUCAUCAUCUAACGAUAUCAGCGGAUUUUGAACAUGAAUUCCGGCGACCCCGGUUCGAACCCGGGCAAGACCU